UCCUAUCAGAGAGCUACGAAAGUAUCGAUAAAUGAACCAUACAGAACUGGGUCCCAGUACUAUAGUAGGUA
rnacentral:tRNA from 1 species